rnacentral:tRNA from 1 species
GAUAAGGUGGCUGAAAUAAAGGUAAUAAAUUGUAAAUUUAUUUAUGGGGUUAUCCCCUUAUCA